UACAGAGGGUGCAAGCGUUAAUCGGAAUUACUGGGCGUAAAGGGCGCGUAGGCGGGUUAGUAAGUUAGUUGUGAAAUCCCUGGGCUUAACCUAGGAACUGCGACUAAUACUGUUAAUCUAGAGUGCUGUAGAGGGUAGUGGAAUUUCCGGUGUAGCGGUGAAAUGCGUAGAUAUCGGAAGGAACACCAGUGGCGAAGGCGGCUACCUGGACAGACACUGACGCUGAGGCGCGAAAGCGUGGGGAGCAAACAGG
rnacentral:rRNA from 1 species